rnacentral:rRNA from 1 species
GACGAGGGGUCCUAGCGUUGUUCGGAAUCACUGGGCGUAAAGCGUUCGUAGGCGGCUCUAUAAGUCGGGUGUGAAAUCCCACGGCUCAACCGUGGAAGUGCAUUCGAAACUGCAGAGCUUGAAUAUGGUAGAGGGUAGUAGAAUUCCUGGUGUAGUGGUGAAAUACGUAGAUAUCAGGAGGAAUACCGGUGGCGAAGGCGGCUACCUGGACCAAUAUUGACGCUGAGGAACGAAAGUGCGGGGAUCAAACAGG